rnacentral:rRNA from 1 species
CCAGACUCCUACGGGAGGCAGCAGUAGGGAAUCUUCGGCAAUGGGGGGAACCCUGACCGAGCAACGCCGCGUGAGUGAAGAAGGUUUUCGGAUCGUAAAGCUCUGUUGUAAGAGAAGAACGGGUGUGAGAGUGGAAAGUUCACAUUGUGACGGUAUCUUACCAGAAAGGGACGGCUAACUACGUGCCAGCAGCCGCGGUAAUACGUAGGUCCCGAGCGUUGUCCGGAUUUAUUGGGCGUAAAGCGAGCGCAGGCGGUUAGAUAAGUCUGAAGUUAAAGGCUGUGGCUUAACCAUAGUAUGCUUUGGAAACUGUUUAACUUGAGUGCAGAAGGGGAGAGUGGAAUUCCAUGUGUAGCGGUGAAAUGCGUAGAUAUAUGGAGGAACACCGGUGGCGAAAGCGGCUCUCUGGUCUGUAACUGACGCUGAGGCUCGAAAGCGUGGGGAGCAAACAGGAUUAGAUACCCUGGUAGUCCACGCCGUAAACGAUGAGUGCUAGGUGUUAGGCCCUUUCCGGGGCUUAGUGCCGCAGCUAACGCAUUAAGCACUCCGCCUGGGGAGUACGACCGCAAGGUUGAAACUCAAAGGAAUUGACGGGGGCCCGCACAAG